rnacentral:lncRNA from 1 species
AUGUUUUCUUCUGAUUCAAAUAAAAAUCGUUACAAGCUUUCUGGUAUGAAAAAAAAAACAAAAAAGUAUACGACACUAAAAUAAAAUUAGGUUCCUUAUAGAUCAAAUACAAUUUGAAAUACCCUCUUUUUCAUACUACUCUUUCUAUAUAUAAUUAAAUGAUUCAAAAAUAUUGCAUAUGGAAUUCAAAAUAUCAUGCUAUUAUUACUUUGUUUUUUAGG